GAGGGAACUUUAUUACUUCUUUAUUUUCGCUCUCUUUCUCACUCUCUCACGCCUCUGCCCUCCUCCAGCUCUCUCUCUCUCGCCUUUGUCUCCGUCGGCGUCAGUGGCGAGCUCGGAUGCCCCUUUCAUCGUCGCCCACAAGAAGGCCACUCUCACCAGGCUCAAGUCCGGUGUCGAAUGUGUCUUCGCUAUAACUAUAGCUCAAUUUAUCAUUUCGUGUUUGUAGAUAUGUUUUUAACUGCUGGACAUGUACUCGGUGUUGCCCACACAUUCAGAAAUUUGGCAUGGUUAGUUGGUAUUGCUUGAUUUUUCCUUUUUAACCAUAGUUUUAGGUUCGCUACCAUGAGUUUUGUGCAAGUGUGCUGUCACUCUGUUCACAUUGGGAAGCAAAAUACGUGCUUCAUUGAUUUAUAUAUGCUGUCUAGGGUUGUUCAUGGGUUGAGUUCACCAUUGUUCUGCUACCCAAACUGACUAUUUGGGUUACAUACCUGGUCACUUGAUUUCAGCGUUCUUGGUUUGUUGUGCCUAUCUGUGAUGAUGGUGGUGGUUGUGGUGGAUGUAGAGAAGCGAGUCUUAAGUAGAGAUAUGGCUUUGCCUUUGUGUUAAGGUUUUGAUUUGGUGUGAGUGUACCAUAUAUAAUUGCAAAACACCUAAAUUUGAUGGCAGUUUUAUGUUUUUAGAAGGCAAAUGAAACAAAGAAAGCCCCUUAUGAUAAUGAGAGACUCAUAUUUAUUAUCUGAUUAUUUAUCUUGGACAAUGGUAUCCUUGUUUGGUUAGACAAUAAUAAUAAUCUAUGCUCACCAUGCUAGCCCUUAAAGUUUUUUGCCCACCAAGUGUUUGAUUCUAUGCUCAAGUGACAAAUUUAUCAAACCACUGCAUAAUUAGCCAAGCCCCAUGGAACAUGGUCAUAAAAAAUUGGGAUAUAAUCUCACAGAGAAUAUUAAAAUU